CAAGUCGAGCGAGAAAGUGUAGCAAUACAUGAGUACAGCGGCGCACGGGUGAGUAACACGUGGGUAAUCUGCCCUAGAGUGGGGAAUAACACCGGGAAACCGGUGCUAAUACCGCAUACGAUCACGAUGUCUGCGGAUGUUGUGAUGAAAGGAGCAAUUCGCUCUUGGAGGAGCCCGCGGCUGAUUAGCUAGUUGGUAAGGUAAUGGCUUACCAAGGCAACGAUCAGUAGCCGGUCUGAGAGGACGGUCGGCCACACUGGAACUGAGACACGGUCCAGACUCCUACGGGAGGCAGCAGUGGGGAAUUUUUCGCAAUGGGGGCAACCCUGACGAAGCAACGCCGCGUGGGUGAUGAAGUCUCUUGGGACGUAAAACCCUUUCGACGGGGAAGAAACCGCAAGGUUGACGGUACCCGUAGAAGAAGCCCCGGCUAACUCCGUGCCAGCAGCCGCGGUAAUACGGGGGGGGCAAGCGUUGUUCGGAAUUACUGGGCGUAAAGGGCGCGUAGGCGGUUUGCUAAGUUGAAUGUGAAAACUCUGGGCUUAACCCAGAGCCUGCAUUCAAUACUGGCAGGCUAGAGUUCUGGAGGGGAUAGCGGAAUUCCUGGUGUAGCGGUGAAAUGCGUAGAUAUCAGGAGGAACACCGGUGGCGAAGGCGGCUAUCUGGACAGAGUCUGACGCUGAGGCGCGAAAGCUAGGGGAGCAAACAGGAUUAGAUACCCUGGUAGUCCUAGCCCUAAACGAUGGAUACUUGCUGUGACUGGGAUUGAAUCCAGUCGUGGCGAAGCUAACGCAUUAAGUAUCCCGCCUGGGGAGUACGGUCGCAAGGCUGAACUCAAAGGAAUUGACGGGGGCCC
rnacentral:rRNA from 1 species